UGCGUUGUAAUCUUCCCAAGAGGCCAGC
rnacentral:piRNA from 1 species